rnacentral:rRNA from 1 species
UGAGGAAUAUUGGUCAAUGGGCGAGAGCCUGAACCAGCCAAGUAGCGUGCAGGAUGACGGCCCUAUGGGUUGUAAACUGCUUUUGUAUGGGGAUAAAGUCAAUCACGUGUGAUUGUUUGCAGGUACCAUACGAAUAAGGACCGGCUAAUUCCGUGCCAGCAGCCGCGGUAAUACGGAAGGUCCGGGCGUUAUCCGGAUUUAUUGGGUUUAAAGGGAGCGUAGGCUGGAGAUUAAGUGUGUUGUGAAAUGUAGACGCUCAACGUCUGACUUGCAGCGCAUACUGGUUUCCUUGAGUACGCACAACGUUGGCGGAAUUCGUCGUGUAGCGGUGAAAUGCUUAGAUAUGACGAAGAACUCCGAUUGCGAAGGCAGCUGACGGGAGCGCAACUGACGCUGAAGCUCGAAGGUGCGGGUAUCGAACAGGAUUAGAUACCCUGGUAGUCCGCACAGUAAACGAUGGAUGCCCGCUGUUGGUACCUGGUAUCAGCGGCUAAGCGAAAGCAUUAAGCAUCCCACCUGGGGGAGUACGCCGGCAACGGUG